rnacentral:pre_miRNA from 1 species
AUAAGAAUCAUAUGGAGAUCUUGUGAAAAUGCAGAUUCUGAGGCAGUAGGUUUGGGUGGAGCUUGAGAGUGUACAUUUCUAACAAGCUCUCAGGUGAUGUCUGU